AUGGCAACCGAGCUUCCCAAGCCUCCAAAAACUGACUUGCAGUUGCCUCCGCCUUCACCUCCUGGCCAUUAUGGAGGCCAAGCUGGCAGAGAUCGGAGCUCCGAUCCAGGGGAGUGGAGAGGAGCUGGUGGAGCAGCUGCAGACCUACACCCCUCAGACUGUCAUGGUGCUGAAUCAGCCGGUUUUGAAAGGGGAAAAUGGGGACAAAGCUGCUCCCCCUCCCAUGUCAGCACAUGGGAUUCUGGGAUUCCCGGGCCACCACUACCCAUGGGACUCCCCACUCUGUAACCUCCUCCACCACCUCCACCAGGCCUUGGCCUUGGCUUUCCUAUGGCCCACCCACCAAAUUUGGGCCCCCCCCCACAAGUGGGUGAGCCUGUGGCACUGUCAGAGGAAGCAGCUAAAUUUGGCACAGCAACAGGAGGCAUUGCUGACACAGCAAGAGGAACAUGCCACACAGCAAGGAGAUCAUUCUGAGAGGGAACAUGAGUUUUUCAAGCAGCAGAAGCGAGUAGCUGUGUUACUGGAGCAGGAACAGCAGCAGGAAAUAGCCAAGAUGGCUGUCCCUCAGCCCCCACAAGAUAUGAGCCAAAUUGGUGUGCGUACUCCUCUGGGUCCUCAAGUAGCUGCUCCAGUGGGUCCAGUGGGCCCCACUCCCACUGUUUUGCCCAUGGGAGCACCCGUUCCUCGGCCUCGUGGUCCCCCACCACUUCCUGGAGAUGAGAACAGAGAGAUGGAUGACCCCUCUGUGGGCGCGAAGAUCCCCCAGGCUUUGGAAAAGAUCCUACAGAUGAAGGAGAGCCGUCAGGUAGAGAUGAACUCACAACAGGAGGAAGAGGGCAUGGAAACAGACACUCGCUCACCCCUAGGCCAGUCAGCAUCAGAGACUGAGGAGAACACAGUGUCCAUAUCCAAAAAAGAGAAAAACCAGAAGCAUCGGAACCCAAAGAAGAAGAAAAAAUCCCAGUGGGUGCGGGGGGUAUCAUCUGAGAGCCCUGGGGACCGAGAGAAAGACUCAGCUCAGUCUCAGGGCACUGAUUCCCCAGCUGCUGAUGUUGAGAUCAAGUAUGUGACCAAAGAACCUGAAAUCUAUGAGCCCAACUUCAUCUUCUUCAAGAGAAUCUUUGAGGCUUUCAAGCUGACUGGUGACGUGAAGAAAGAGAAAGAGAAGGAGCCAAAGAAACUCGACAAACUGGAGAACGCUGCUGCCCCCAAGAAGAAGGGCUUCGAGGAGAAGCACAAGGACAGUGAUGUUGACAGCAGUGACAAAGAACAGGAAAAGAAGCCAGAAGCACCUAAGCUGUCCAGGAAGAAGCUGUGCCGAAUGAAUCCAUUCACAGUGGCUGAACUCAAGCAGCUGGUUGCUCGACCUGAUGUUGUGGAGAUGCAUGAUGUGAUGGCCCAGGACCCUAAGUUGUUGGUUCACCUCAAGGCUACUUGAGACUCUGUGCCUGUGCCACGACACUGGUGUUUUAAGUGCAAGUACCUGCAGGGUAAACGAGGCAUUGAGAAGCCCCACUUUGAGCUACCAGACUUCAUCAAAUGCAGAGGCAUCCAGGAGAUGGAGGAGGCCCUGCAGGAAAAGGAAGAACAGAAGACCAUGAGUCAAAAAUGUGAGGUUUGACCCAAGAUGGGCAAGAUUGACAUUGACUACCAGAAACUACAUGAUGCCUUCUUCAAGUGGCAGACCAAGCCGAAGCUGACCAUCCAUGAGGACCGAUGUUACAAGGGCAAGAAGUCUGAGACACGACUGAAGGAGACCUGUCUGAUGAGCUAAGAAUUUCCUUGGGGAUGCCAGUAGGACCAAAUGCAUAUAAGUUUCUUCCCCUGUGGAUGAUUUCCAUGCAACUAUAUGAACCACCCCCAACCUACCCCAAACUGAAAAUCCCUGGCCUGAACUCACCCAUCCCUGAGAGCUAUUCCUUUGGGUAUCAUGCUGGUGGCUGGGGCAACCCACCAGUAGAUGAGACUGGGAAACCACUCUAUGGGGAUGUGUUUGGAACCAAUGCUGCUGAAUUUCAGAACAAGACUGAAGAAGAAAUUGAUCGGACCCCUUGGGGGGAACUAGAGCCGUCUGAUGAGGAGUCUUCAGAAGAAGAGGAAAGUGAUGAAGACAAACCAGAUGAAACAAGCUUUAUUACCCCUGCAGACAGUGGCCUCAUCACUCCUGGAGGUUUCUCUUCAGUCCCAGCUGGAAUGGAGACCCCUGAACUCAUUGAGCUGAGGAAGAAGAAGAUUGAAGAGGCCAUGGAUGGAAGUGAGAUACCUCAGCUCUUCACUGUGUUGCUGGAGAAGAGAACAGCCACUGUUGGAGGAGCUAUGAUGGGAUCAACCCACAUUUACGACAUGUUCACGGUUAUGAGCCGAAGGGCCCGGCCUCUGAGCUGCAAGGUGUGAAAGUGGCCUUGAACCCUGAGGAGUUGGACCCCAUGGCCAUGACCCAGAAGUACGAGGAUCACAUACAGGAGCAGCAGGCACAAGUGGAGAAGGAAGACUUCAGCGACAUGGUGGCCGAGCAUGCUGCCAAGCAGAAGCAAAAGAAACAGAAAGCCCAGCCCCAGGACAGCUGCUAGGGCAGCAAGAAAUACAAGGAGUUCAAAUUUUAA